rnacentral:lncRNA from 1 species
GACGGCGGGGGAGGAGGGGAGCACGGGUGGGCGGGCNGCGGGAUGGACCCCCCUACUUCGGGCCGACCAGGGGGAAGGGCGAUGUGGACUCUCCUUGUCCUUUGUGAGGGCCGCCCCGUCUCUCCCACGGAGUGUCUUCGAGCUCCCAGUGUACCACACAAAGAGAGGAGGGUCCCCUUCAGGGAGCACUACUGAUGCUCCAUCUUCCACCGUCGGAGCUAAUUAGGGGAUGCCGAGGAAGCCCCGGCCAUCUGGCCCUACCGCCCACCCCAGUCCUGGGAAGCUCGGGUUUGAAGCCUGGGUAGGGACCCUUUCCCGACGUUGCGCAAUUUGCAGUGCAAUCUCACCCGUGGCCCAUCCCUGGUAACCUUAGGAAUCCGGUGUUAGUCCAGAUUGACUAGCUCUGGGGAGGCGUCGUGGUGGGACGUUUCUGUCUUGCCAGGCUUUGUCUCUGUCCCCGCCUUGUUCCCAGAUCCUGUAUCCCGGGAACCGGCCUCGCCCCUAGCGCAGGCACCGAGACGGGUGCUGCACUGCCCUAAGGGUGACUACACCGCGCCAAGAGCGAGACCUAGGGCUGAGCCUGGGAGACCCGAGUGGGGGCGAGGGGAGACCCGAGUGGGGGGCGAGGAAGGGGAUAUUUCUCUCGGGCAUCUGGGGCUUGGAGGGCUUGGAAGGCGCAGCUGGGUGUUUUUUUCACAGCCUUUGAUUGGCAUUUUCCCCGAAAAGUUGGGCGCGCCGGGUCCUCGGUCCCUAGACAUUCAGUCUCCAGGCUCACCUGGGAGCGCAGCCCGUGAGUGUGAGCGCUCUUCGUCUUCGCCGCCGCGGGCCGGGUAACUGUACCCUAUUGUCUUGCAGCAGGUCCGCUGCGCUCCCUAGCCUUUCUCAAUUCCCCCGUGGGGGAGG